CGAUCUCAAAUCAAGUAAGACUACCCGCUGAACUUAA
rnacentral:rRNA from 11 species